rnacentral:rRNA from 1 species
CUGCUCAGUAACACGUGGAUAACCUGCCCAAGGGUCCGGGAUAACCCCGGGAGACUGGGGAUAAUACCGGAUGGAUCACUUAUGCUGGAAUGCUUGGUGGUCGAAAGGUGACGCCCUUGGAUGGGUCUGCGGCGGAUUAGGUUGACGCCGGUGUAACGUACCGGCGUGCCUGUAAUCCGUACGGGUUGUGGGAGCAAGAGCCCGGAGAUGGAUUCUGAGACACGAAUCCAGGCCCUACGGGGCGCAGCAGGCGCGAAAACUCUACAAUGCAGGCAACUGCGAUAGGGGGACAUCGAGUGGCAUCCACCUUGGGUGCCUGUCCCACCGUCUAAAAAACGGUGGUUAGCAAGGGCCGGGCAAGACCGGUGCCAGCCGCCGCGGUAAUACCGGCGGCUCGAGUGGUGGCCGAUAUUACUGAGUCUAAAGGGUCCGUAGCCGGCUUUGCAAGUCCCCUGGGAAAUCCAGCGGCUUAACCGUUGGGCUUUCAUGGGAUACUACAUUGCUUGGGACUGGGAGAGGUAGGAGGUACUCGGGGGGUAGGGGUGAAACCCUGUAAUCCCCCGGGGACCACCGGUGGCGAAGGCGUCCUACCAGAACAGGUCCGACGGUGAGGGACGAAAGCUAGGGGCACGAACCGGAUUAGAUACCCGGGUAGUCCUAGCCGUAAACGAUGCCCGCUAGGUGUCACGGCGGUCGUGAAUCGCCGUGGUGCCGUAGGGAAGCCGCGAAGCGGGCCACUUGGGAAGUACGGCCGCAAGGCUGAAACUUAAAGGAAUUGGCGGGGGAGCAC